rnacentral:rRNA from 1 species
UACGGGGGGGGGCAAGCGUUUGUUCGGAAUUACUGGGCGUAAAGCGUGCGUAGGCGGUUUCAUAAGCUUGAUGUGAAAGCCCCGGGCUCAACCUGGGAAUGGCAUUGAGGACUGUGGAGCUAGAGUGCGGCAGAGGGAGGUGGAAUUCCACGUGUAGCAGUGAAAUGCGUAGAGAUGUGGAGGAACACCGAUGGCGAAGGCAGCCUCCUGGGCCGACACUGACGCUGAGGGCGACGAAAGC